ensembl:misc_RNA Metazoa_SRP Metazoan signal recognition particle RNA
GCUGGGCAUGGUCGCUCAUGCCUGUAAUCCCAGCACUUUGGGAGGCUGAGGUGGGUGGAUCACUUGAGGUCAGGAGUUUGAGACCAGCCUGGCCAACAUAGUGAAACCCCGUCUCUA